rnacentral:rRNA from 1 species
AUUGAACGCUGGCGGCAUGCCUUACACAUGCAAAUCGAACGGUAACGGGCCUUCGGGUGCCGACGAGUGGAGAACGGGUGAGUAAUACAUCGGAACGUGCCCGAUCGUGGGGGAUAACGAGGCGAAAGCUUUGCUAAUACCGCAUACGAUCUACGGAUGAAAGCAGGGGACCGCAAGGCCUUGCGCGGACGGAGCGGCCGAUGGCAGAUUAGGUAGUUGGUGGGAUAAAAGCUUACCAAGCCGACGAUCUGUAGCUGGUCUGAGAGGAUGAUCAGCCACACUGGGACUGAGACACGGCCCAGACUCCUACGGGAGGCAGCAGUGGGGAAUUUUGGACAAUGGGCGCAAGCCUGAUCCAGCCAUGCCGCGUGCAGGAUGAAGGCCUUCGGGUUGUAAACUGAUUUUGUACGGAACGAAAAGCCUUCUUUUAAUACAGGAGGGUCAUGACGGUACCGUAAGAAUAAGCACCGGCUAACUACGUG